rnacentral:rRNA from 1 species
UUAAAAAUACCCCAAAAACCCUAAAUUCCAAUGUAUUUUUAAGAGAUAGUCUAAAAAGGUACAGCUUUUUAGAAACGGAUACAACCUUGACUAGAGAGUAAAAUCUUAAUACUACCAUAGUAGGCCUAAAAGCAGCCAUCAAUUGAGAAAGCGUUAAAGCUCAACAAAUUCACCAACAUAAUCCCAAAAACUAAUAACAAACUCCUAGCCCAAUACCGGACUAAUCUAUUGAAACAUAGAAGCAAUAAUGUUAAUAUGAGUAACAAGAAGCCUUUCUCCUCGCACACGCUUACAUCAGUAACUAAUAAUAUACUGAUAAUUAACAACCAAUAAACCAAAACAACACUAAAACGUUUAUUAAUUACAUUGUUAACCCAACACAGGAGUGCACCAAGGAAAGAUUAAAAGAA